rnacentral:rRNA from 1 species
AUUGAACGCUGGCGGCAGGCCUAACACAUGCAAGUCGAACGAGUGGCGGACGGGUGAGUAAUGUCUGGGAAACUGCCUGAUGGAGGGGGAUAACUACUGGAAACGGUAGCUAAUACCGCAUACCAUCAGAUGUGCCCAGAUGGGAUUAGCUAGUUGGUGUGGUAAAGGCUCACCAAGGCGACGAUCCCUAGCUGGUCUGAGAGGAUGACCAGCCACACUGGGACUGAGGAACGGUCCAGACGCCUACGGGAGGCAGCAGUGGGGAAGAUUGCACAAUGGGCGAAAGCCUGAUGCAGCCAUGCCGCGUGUAUGAGGAAGGCCUUCGGGUUGUAAAGUACUUUCGGCGGGGAAGCGUUAUCCGCAGAAGAAGCACCGGCUAACUCCGUGCCAGCAGCCGCGGUAAUAC